GACGAACGCUGGCGGCGUGCUUAACACAUGCAAGUCGAACGGUAAGGCCCUUCGGGGUACGACGAGUGGCGAACGGGUGGAGUAACAACGUGGGUGAUCUGCCUGCACUUCGGGAUAAGCCUGGGAAACUGGGUCUAAUACCGGAUAGGACCAUGGACUUCACGGUUUGUGGUGGAAAGCUUUUGCGGUGUGGGAUGGGCCCGCGGCCUAUCAGCUUGUUGGUGGGGUAAUGGCCUACCAAGGCGACGACGGGUAGCCGGCCUGAGAGGGUGUCCGGCCACACUGGGACUGAGAUACGGCCCAGACUCCUACGGGAGGCAGCAGUGGGGAAUAUUGCACAAUGGGCGCAAGCCUGAUGCAGCGACGCCGCGUGAGGGGAUGACGGCCUUCGGUUGUAACUCUUUCAAUAGGACGAAGCGCAAGUGACGGUA
rnacentral:rRNA from 1 species